AGCAGCCGCGGUAAUUCCAGCUCCAAUAGCGUAUAUUAAAGUUGUUGCAGUUAAAAAGCUCGUAGUUGAAUUUCGGGAUCAGUACGCUGGUCGUGCCUUCGGUAUGUACUGGUGUUACUGGUUCCUACCUUCUGACGAACCGUCAUGUCAUUAAUUUGGUGUGGCGGGGAAUCAGGACUGUUACUUUGAAAAAUUAGAGUGUUAAAGCAGGCUCGCGCUUGAAUACAUUAGCAUGGAAUAAUGAAAUAGGACGUUCGAUCCUAUUUUGUUGGUUUCUAGGAUUGACGUAAUGAUUAAUAGGGAUAGUUGGGGGCAUUAGUAUUCAAUUGUCAGAGGUGAAAUUCUUGGAUUUAUUGAAGACUAACUACUGCGAAAGCAUUUGCCAAGGAUGUUUUCAUUAAUCAAGAACGAAAGUUAGGGGAUCGAAGACGAUCAGAUACCGUCGUAGUC
rnacentral:rRNA from 1 species